rnacentral:rRNA from 1 species
GACGCACGCUGGCGGCGUGUUUAACACAUGCAAGUCGAACGGAGUGGCGAACGGGUGAGUUACACGUGGGUGAUCUGCCUUGCACCUCGGGAUACGCUUGGGAAACUGGGUCUAAUACCGGAUAGUGCAAGAGGAGCUCGCGGCCUAUCAGCUUGUUGGUGGGGUAAGGGCGUACCAAGGCGUCGACGGGUCGCCGGCCUGGGAGGGUGUACGGCCACAUUGGGACUGAGGUACGGCCCAGACGCCUACGGGAGGCAGCAGGGGGGAAUAUUGCACAAUGGGCGGAAGCCUGAUGCAGCGACGCCGCGUGGGGGAUGAAGGCCUUCGGGUUGUAAACUCCUUUCGACAGGGACGCGGUACCUGUAUAAGAAGCACCGGCUAACUACGUGCCAGCAGCCGCGGUAAUUC